rnacentral:sRNA from 1 species
UUCUUUUCUUCUUUUUUU